ensembl:lncRNA novel transcript, sense intronic to KIAA0247
UCCAUUUUAUUGCUGAAUGCUAUUCUGUUGUAUUGAUAUACCACAUUUUGUUUAUCCAUUCAUCAGCUGAUGGACAGUUGGGUUGUUUCUGUUUUUUGGUUAUGAAUAAUAUUGCAGUAUUGCUAAGAACGUGUGUAUAAGUUUUUCUGUGGGUAUAUGUUUUCAUUUCUCAAGGAGAUACCUUUAAAGCUGCAUCCAUCCAUAUCUCUACUUUGUGGUUAACAUUCUCCUAGGUUAUGCAGUUUGUUUGAGGAAGAACAGUGUUUUAGUAAACUCUUGAUCCUACUGUGGUGUUGCGGAUAUUGCCCUGAAUCAAGAAAAGGUGCCACCAAAAAAAAAUCCAAAACCCAAAAACAAAAAGAGAGAAUCCUGUUUUUAAGUUUGAACUCUCCAGUAGCAUUGUUUCCAAAUAUUUGGUGCAGAACUUUAACCAUUGGUGAGAGUUGACAGACGCGAUAGUGCCUAAAUUCAAUGCACAUGUACUGCUGCUUUAAACAAAUAAAGAGGAUUUUCAAUGCGAAGCCUCA